rnacentral:lncRNA from 1 species
AGAGUUCAACUGUCAACUCUGAUCAGGUUGUCUACAUUGUAUUUCAAAAUAUCAAAUCCAUCUGAUGGAUUACCAUGGCCAAGGUUUUGCUAAAUUGAAAUACAGUGAUUCAUUCUUCUCCAACUCUUGGAGUGGUCAAUCCCAUCUCGAUCACACUCUGACUUCGCAAGUACUUGACUGUGCCCAGAAGCCUUCCAUCCUUGAAUUAGAAAUUCAGUUAGUCUAGUACCAAAGCACAGUGAGUUGCUUGCAAGUCACUGAGGCGAUCUCAGGUCUAAGGGACACUUAUACCUAUAUCCCAUCAGAGACAUUCUCGACAGCAGAAUACUCUGGAGUUGGUCACGUUCAAUGACGAUGUACCCUUACAUCUCACCUGUAUGCCAUACCAGUGUCUCCACACUCUUUGGUUAAGAGGACAACCAACUCAUAUGGCCUACAACGACCUAUGCUCGAUAGAAGCUGUCGUCCUUAUUAACAGCCUAUCAUUUGGUCGUGAAC